rnacentral:lncRNA from 1 species
GUUUUUUCACCAUUUAUUUUGAUGAUAUUAAUCAUUAGUCCAUUGGCGAUCCAGAUUAUGUGACCAUCCGAACUUUAAAAAGUUACUUUUUGUUGGUAUUUAGAAUUUGUUAGCGUCAACAACAUAAAGCAGGGUGAGCAAUCCUGCUACAAGCCCAACAAACAGCAACUGAAAGACCCAAAAUGGAAGUCCUCAGUUACCGCACAACAUCUAAUGCCUAUCUAAGGACAAGGACACGUUUCCCUUCUCAUUCAAACAACUACUAAGUCUUGCUCUAAUCAACCUCUUAAUUUGCAAGAGGAUUAAAUCAGAGAAUACAACAGACAACAGUUUACUGCCUUAGAAACCAAUUUUUUGGAUUUUUUGGUGAUAUAUCAGUGAUAGAUAUGUUUCUAUAUUAAUUUUCUAUUGUUUUGUGAUAGAAUAAGCAUCCAAGAUUCACUGGAGAGAACUUAGAGAAGAACAAAGUUAUAUAUAAAAAAUUUGCUGACCUCGCUACAGAGCAUGGUUGCACUGCUCCUCAACUGGCCCUAGCGUGGCUUCUUCAUCAGGGGGAUGACGUUAUCGCAAUACCAGGUAACAAUUUUGGGCAAACAUUGAGUCACAUAAUAGUAGAUUUUGUGUUACUAUGCCACUAGCUGUCGAUUUUUGCAAAAUGAGGAGAAGUACGUCAAAUCAGGCGGCUGUUAAUUUUGUGAUGUUUAUAACAAACUUUAACUUGGAUGAUAUAGGGACCACAAAAGUCAAGAAUCUUGAAGACAAUAUUAGCUCAGUGGCACUUAAGCUUAGCCAAGACCAGAUGAGAGAAAUUUGUGAGGUCGUGGCUGUGAAUGAAGUAAGUGGGGAAAGAGAGUUAGAAUCAUUUGCCAAGUAUUCCUGGAAAAAUGCAAAUACUCCACCAAGACAAUGCGCGCCAUAAUUGAAAGGUUGACCAUGGAUUUGCUCGAUGGAGGUGUUUCUCCCUCAUUCUUUCCGCUAGUUGUUUUAAGGGAUAAUACUCUAGUCAAAGCUUGAGGUCGUUGGUUGUGAUAUCCACAUUGCAGUCUCAUCAUGGGGAGCCUGAGAAAUCAGAGAAUCAAUGAUGUGAAAGACAUUUAUGUUAUUCCAUUCUACGAGCUUGUUGAGUUAGAAACUGUAGUGUAUGCCUGAACUUUUGGAUUUGACAAGCAGAGGUGUUAUGUUUUAAGGUGGAGAGGCUCUGCCUGCGCUUUAUUUUGAUGUGAUAUUUCAUCGGUUGUGGAAUGGUGAGGUUCAGCUGAUGGAGCACGAUGCGGUAGAAAUCAUAAGUUGUUCCGAAGAGCUUCUCACACAGACAGAUAAUAUUCGGUGCAUGAAAAUUGUUGCUUAGAGACACUAGUUAAUCUUUCUGUGGAUAUAGAUUAGUGUCUGCUACACUCAAAAUUGUUCCAUCUCACAGAGAGCAAUAUGUUCCUUAGCUGAAAUUUUUCUCGAAGUGCUUUGGUGAAUUGUCCCGGACUGUUCGUUUGAACAACUCUGCUUGAUAUCUCUAAUGAUAAGCAUGUCCAAUACCAGGCAAAGUGGGUCGGCAAGAAUUUCUGAUAUGUCAUAAAUUGAGGCGUACUUUCCCCUAGUUUAUGGGCAAGUUCGGUUCUAUAUUGUAAGAAUCAAAAUCUGUCUGAAAAAUGUGAAUGUAAGGGACUGAGAUUGAUAAUUAGUUUUGAUACGUGUAGUUAAUGCUUUUCAAAAUCGGAAUCCUUAUUCCUCCUAUUGAGAACUGGUGUAAGCAACAGAAGUUCGAUAUCUUUGUUGUAAGUAGAGAGGUCAAAUUUGUAUUUAAACUGGCUUAUCUAAAGGGAUUUAACAGAUAUUAGGGUGCUUCAUAACGCUGUGAUAAUGUGCGAGACUAAAAUUUUGAUCAAGAUGCACUACAGAAGUAUCACGCCUCAAUCAUCGGAAAGCCACUUGGGUCAGCCUUCACGUAGAGCCUUGAGCUAUUGAGUUAUGAGCUCAUUACCUCAGAAAUUAUUUGAACUGGGAUUCCUUCUGCUUUGGUAAAACGCUCUUAGGUUUGUGCUGAUAGACAUUGCCCCACAUUGAACGCAUUUUCCAAUCACCGGUCUUGGUGGUCAUAAGGGAAUCGCAUGAAACACUCAUCAUAUCCCACGACCCAGAUGCAUCGAGUGAAUUCUCGUUGCAGGUCAAAUUCUCAGGAGAGCUACGGAUCCUUCCUAGUGAAUGUGCCUUUGAAACUCGAAGGGAGUGGGGUGUUGUGCUUGAGCUGCAGAGCCGCGGCAUGUCGUUUUCAUCAAGGUCGCGCUGAUGCAUGGUAGUAGAAGGUCCAAUGUGUUUCUCCACCGUCGAAAACCUCAAACUACGUCACUUCCCUUUUGGCCUGGCAUUCGAAAGCCAACAAGAACUGAAUUCCCACGAAUCACUUGUCCGUUGUUUGUUCAAGGCUAUUUGAAGGUCCACGUCGUUACUUUCACGUUAAACGGACAAGGUGAAACCAUUUAACCCCGCACAAACAUGCAUCGCGUGGAACCAACACCAUCCACCAGUCUCUCCAGCUCUCUCUCUUCCCCGGCACUAUAUCAAUGCCGCUUCAUAUAAGCCCCUGUAUAGCCAAGACAGUAACACUUCAGUCUAGUCAGAGUCGAAUCAGUUGCACCCUUUGAGCUGAGUGCCAUUCUUCUAGUUUUCAUAGACUUUUGGUCCUUGUUUGAAAAUCAUGGCCUCAACAAUCCUGAUGCACUCAGUCCCUGCAAGUCCUAGGACCGUGAUCGACAUUAGUUUCAGGAAAUCUAUCGUGAGAGGAUUUUUCCCUGUCAACCAUAGUCCCAGGUUGGCUCCCCAAGUUGGCUUGUGCGUGAAGUGUAUGACUAAGGUAAAGUAGCAGAAUUUUGAUCGAUCUUGCCUGCUACGUGAACAAUGUGAUAUUAUGAAGUUACUUGAAGUAACCUUAGGAGGGCAAGCCAGAUCUGAAUCCAUCCCAGAAAUCGAAAUCAAAGGUAUGUUAAUGCUUGAGAGCUUCCUAGCACAUGAGUACGAGUUUUGGGGAGGCCAAAUACAGGUCGCUUUUUUGUAUAUGUAGAGUUUAAACUUUAGGAUAAAAGUUUCUCCAUGAUAAGUGUUUUCAGAGAAAUUUAAUUGGUGAUAUUCUGCUGAUUAAAUUCAUAACUAAUCCUUGCGUAAAUAAUGUUAAUCAUGUUGACAGGUGAGCACUGGCUUCACAGAUGUUUUCGCAUUCAGCGGGCCGGCACCUGAGAGGAUCAAUGGUAGACUCGCAAUGAUUGGCUUUGUGGCAGCCAUUGCAGUCGAACUAUCCAAAGGCCAGGACUUGUUCGCUCAGAUUAGUGAAGGUGGCAUCCCGUGGUUCAUAGGGACAAGCGUUCUGCUCUCGGUCGCAUCUCUUGUUCCGCUGUUUCAAGGAGUCACGGCCGAGUCUAAGUCAGAUGGGUUGAUGACUUCCGAUGCUGAGUUGUGGAAUGGAAGGUUGGCGAUGUUGGGACUGGUCGCGCUAGCCUUCACCGAAUAUGUCAAGGGAGGAACACUCGUGUAGAGUUCAGAAUGUAAUCCUCAGAAGCCAAUAAAUUGAACCAUUAUCUUAAUACAAAGAUUGUGCACAGUACCUUCUUGGUUAGAUUUGACAUUACAGUUGUUGUCAUACUGUAGAACAUUUUCUCAAAGGAUAUGUCAGUGUACUAUUCCACUUGAAGAAUACUUUCAAGAUAACUCCUUCCGUAAGAAGAAACAUCGAUUCAUAUGAAGCGAAAGUAAAUAAGCGUCGAUCAAUUUACAAGAUGGAAAUCAUAGACUAAUAAGCUGCGGGCGCCUUUGCGAAUGAGUCGACGGUGAGACUCAUAUGACUAGAAGGAGAAAACACACUCAUCUCAGUAUUUUCCAGAAGUAAAUUAACUAAAGCAACAGUAAUAAUGAUGGACAGCCCUGAUGCACUGAGUGCUUAUGCUCCGAAUUCUUGUUGCUGUUCAAUUUCUCCAAAGAGCUCUAGAUCCUUUUGAAGAAAUGCAUGGCCUCUCUUCUCUCAAUAAUUUCAAAUAUUUCCAUAUUACCUUAAUAUCUAGAUAUCUUUAUUGAAAGAUGUUUAAUGAAGAGUGUAGAAAUAACUAGGAAGAUUUUUUCUCUAGAAAUAUCUAGAGAAGGAUAGGAAUACCAAUAAGAUAUUUUCUCUAUAAUUAUCUAGGGAGAUGUUAUUUAGAUAUUUCUAAUGAGACAUUAUGUAGACUAGAAACAUCAAGGAUAUUUGUAGAAUACUUUUAUGAAGAUACUAUAGGAGGCAUAGUCACCUCCUUAGGCCUAUAAAUACCAAACACCCUUAUUUGUGGAGCUUGAAAUUAGCAUCCAUCUAAGAGUGUGCGAGGGAGUUUAGCUUCCAUAAGUGAGUGUGCGCUUGGCGCACAAGUGUGCAGAAGAGUUCUCCCAACCAACAUUGUAAGAGGGUGCCUUUAUUAAUAAGAGAGUGUUUUAUUGAAGUGAGACGUGUGUCUUCAUCAAUAAUUGAUAUUUGAGUCACGUUUCUGCAACUCAACAUUUGGUAUCAAGAUUGAGACGAAAAUUCCCAUGUCAUGUAAUACAGGAAAAGUACCAAAAAAGUCAUAAACCUAUUCCAUUUGUACCAAUUCAGUCCUAAACAUUUCAAUUAGACCAAUUUAGUCAUAAACCUUUUAAUAUUGGAACAAAUUUAGUCCAUCUGACCAAUUUUGGCCGGCCGGCGCUGAUGCCAGAUGCUGAUGUGGCAAUUUUUAUGAUUUUUUUAAUGAUUUUUUUCGAAUUUUUAUUAAUUUUUUUUAUUUCUUUUUCCUCUUCUUUUCUGGCGGUGGCUGGCGAGGGCCGCGAAGCCCUUGCCUGCCGCCGAGGAGGCAGCUUUGCUUGCAUCUGGGCAAGGCCAUGGCAGCCAUCACCAAGGCAAAGGCAAGGGCCGCAAAGCCCUCACCAGCUGCCGGUGAGGGUCGCAGCCCUUGCCGCCAGCCGCGGGCAAAGGCAGGCGGGCAAAGCCUAGGUGAGGCCGGCCUCACCCAUAUCCGGGUGAAGCCGCCUUGCCGGCGGCCUGGGAGAGGCCGAGCGAGGGCCGUGACCCUCGCCUAGUGGUUGACGAGCCUCACUGGAGGCUCGCCAGCCACCGUUGAAAAAGAAAAGGAAAAAGUAAAAAAAGAAAAAAUAUUAAUAAAAAAUUCAAAAAAAAAAAUCUUAAAAUUGCCACAUCAGUGUUCAGCCACCGGCCGACAUCCACGUCAGCAUUAGCCGGCCAAAAUUGUCCGGAUAAAUUGAAUUUGUAUCAAUAUUAAAAGGUUUAGAACUAAAUUGGUUCAAUUGAAAAGUUUAUGACUAAAUUAAUACCAAUGCAAUAUGUUUAGAACUUUUUUGGUACUAAUACACUUAAACCAUUAAACACCAUUUCCCUCCUUACCUCGGUUGCUCCUUCGCUUGCUCACUUGCCAGAGUCUUGUCCCACAUGCACAUACACAUUAUAAAUUUACACUUCCGCAAUCCAACAAUUGAUAUCAAAGUAAGUAGUCGGGAAUAGUGAACAGACCAAUUGGGAUCAUGGUACACGAAACAGUGGCUUGGGACUAUUGUACUUGAACAAAUGGUUAGGGACCGGAGUACGACGAAAUUCUGCCAAUGCACAAUCAAGAACUGUGAUCUAUUGAUCUGGAUCAAGCUUACUUGUUAAAGUGUAGAGCAUUAUAUCCAAGUUGAUAUUUCAAGUAUGGUGAACAGCGUAAAAAAGCUCAACAGCUCCAAUUACAAAAAUUGGACCACCCAAGUGUAGUUUUAUUUGUUUGGUCAAGACUUGUGAGAUGUCAUGGGUGGCAGCAACACCACACCGCCCACGAACGAUGGCGAGUUAAUAAAGUGGAACAUCAAAGUAGGUAAGGCUCUAUACGUUCUUACUGUGACUAUUGAAAAUGAGGUGUUACAACACAACAAGAACGCAAAGACCCCAAAUGUGGCAGGUGAUAACUUGGCGGCAUCGUUUGCAAGGGUGAAUAUUGCCUAGUUGCAAAAAUUGCAAAACGAGCUAUUGUUGGUGUUGCCACAAUAUAUGACAGCAAGUCAAUAUUUCUCCAAAGUUAAAUCUAUUUAUGAAGAAAUUUCAAAAUUUAAUUCUCAGAAUACUAUCUCUUAUACAAGGAUGAGAGAAUAUUCACAGAUUUUUUUUUUAAACGAAUAUUCACGGAUUAAGGUUAGAAUAUAAUGGUAUUGUUAAGGGCACUUGUAGAUGGCCAAAAGAGCCAACUCUAAUGAGUUGGAGAAUGUAUUGACCAACCAAGAGGCUUGAGAUAGACAACUUUUUAACAACGAUUGGCAAUAAAGUGAUCAUUUUUUUAUUUAUAAUAACGAAUAGUAAUGAAUUGAUCACUUUCUUUUUUAAAUGCUGAUUAUGAUAUAGCUAGUAUAAGUACCUAGAGGGGGUGAAUAGAUAUAUAAAAGAUUUUUCUCGAUAAUUGCACAAUACUAGACAGUUGAUAGAUUUGAGACAAACAAUAAUUAAAGUAAGACUGAGAGAAAGGGAAGAGAAAAUUGAACACGCGGUUUAUAGUGGUUCGGCUUAUUUCAAGCCUACGUCCACUUUUCUGCACUGACAGUCUAUUAGCUGGAUUCCACUAUGAACAAAGAGAUGUUACAGUGUUGUUCUUCAUUGAUUUCUCGGUAUAGAUGAUCUACCACACUCGCUCAAGGUAUCACUAAGUAUAGACACUCUUUGUGUAUACAAUUUCGCUCAAAAUGUAUCGACUAAUAAUCAAGGUGCUUCAGAAUUUGGAAUUUCUCUAUUGAUCAUACACUAAAGCAACUAGAAUGUCUUCCUUUUAUACUCCUUUAUGCCAUCAUACCCGUUGGCACUUACCAAAGGAAUUUCUCCAAUUUACCCGUUGGAUGGAAUCAAUCAAGAAGAUCAUUCGAGCUAUUAAAAGAACCUGACGAUAGCCUAUCAAUCCUGUUCGCCCAUACAAUCAGGAUCUUGGUUUCCAAGAAUAGAACCUUCCAAGAAUAUUUCGUCGACCAUCGGAUCUUCAAACGAUCUUGAUUACGAAUAAAAGAAUCCAUUAUAUUUAUCCAGCCAAGAGAUCUUUUCUAGAGGAUAGGACUAAAUCCUCAACCAAAUACUUCGGCUCUGGAUUGCUUUCAUCACUGGAUUAGAAAAACUGUCAAUGAGAAUAGUCUUGAAUCUUGAGUCUUGAGUGCUGAGUUUGGUGAUAUGAAAGUCUUCAGACUCUAAACAGAAGGUCUGCAAUUAUCCAUACUAGACUGAUAGAAAUGUUUUGUCAGCUUCAAAAUAUUCUGGAAAGAUUUCUCCAACAGAAUGGGCACGCUGGAAAGUUAAGGAAGAUCAAGAAAUUAAUAAAAUAUGGCAACGUCGGAUUUUCGGCGACUCAAAUCGGAAUUGACACUUAAAUGAUCUUUUUUUUUUUAAAGGGCAUUUAAGGGUUUCGAAAAAAAAAUUAUAUGGCAUUUCUAGUGUCUUUCUCCUCAAGAAAAACGUUCCUUUGGCUGAGAAUGUUGCUCGAAGUGCUUUGGCGAAUAGUCCAGAACCAUUCUUUCGAACAGCUCAACUCGAUCAUUCUAAUGAUAAGGAUGUUCGACGCCAAACGAGCAGGUCAGGAAAAAUAACUGAGGCGUUAUCAAUUGUGGAGUGCUUUCCCCAACUUUGUUGGCAAGUUCUUUGCUGUAGCAUGCUUCUGCGUUGCUUAUCAAGAUGAUUCAUACCAUGAAGAAUUGUCAAAAUCAAAAGUUGUCCCAAAAAUGUGAAUUGUAGGGACUGAGUUUGAUAAUUAGUUUUGAUACGUGUAGUUAAUGCUUUUCAAAGUCAGAAUCCGUAUCCCUCCCAUGAGAAUGGCAUAAGCAACAGAAGUUCAAUGCCUUCGUCAUCAAAAAGAGAUCAAAUAUAUAUUUAAACUCAUUAUAAAUCUAGAGAGACCUAGUGGAAAGUAGAGUGCGUCAUGGCAUAUCCGUGAUGAUGAACAAGACUUCAUUUUUCAUGAGGACGCAUAGUAGAAGUCUCAUGCCUUCAUCACCGGUGGCCACUAGGAGUGGAUUGUCGUGUAAUUCCUGCACUCAAACGUGUGCUUGUGUCCGCAAUUUAAUGCAAUUGAAUGGGGGAGUGAAUCUCAUAUCCCGUUCGCGAUUUCCUUCAAUCUUUUGCUUGAUUUGCAACGCUCGAGCUAAUCCGUGUUUCUUUGGCUCUUGUGGGUUGUUAGAUUCACCCAAAUGGAAAAUAGAAGUCGACAGUGUAGGCAUGGAAGGAGGGUGCAUUUAUCAUUGCUGUCGUCAUUGCCAUUGGUAUGGUAUUCCAUGACAUAACCACGACUUGUUAAAAAAGUUGCUUCAACAAGCGAUAAUCAUCUUCUCUCGGACGAAGGAAAGAUCACUUGCACUAAUUUAGGAAAAUGAACUCGAUCGAAAUAAAGGAAUUUAGAGGACUUGGGAAGUCUAGGGUUAUGAUUUGGGCUCCAUUUUGAAAAACUGACCUAGAUCGGAUCACAAAACCAAGAUCGGCCAAGAUGAUCAAAACAGAAGUUAUAUUAGUGAUAUUAGGAGGAAAAUUGCCCUAUGAGGAACUGUCAAACAACCCUAGCUUGAAUUUGGGGCUUCUUCAAAUUGGUCAAAGUGCAAAAUUUUCAACAAAAUUAACAGAAUAAGCAUGUGAUUCUUAUGUACAAAUUGGCAGGCAAAAAUUUGGUAGGCCGAUGAGCUUAGGUCCUUACUUAAGACUAAGUUGAUCAUUAUAGGUCUUUUUUCUUAGACGAAGUCUACUUUAACCCAUAUAUUAAGAAAACGGCUCGUUUUAAACCUUUAUUUGAAACUUUUCCCCAAAUCUAUCAUCCUAGUGUUGCUUCUAUUGGCAUGAGGGAAUUAAUGAUGAUUUCCCAUGGAAGUUCCAUUUUAGUGCUACAAGUUGCUAUGUUGCUUGUCCGCAACAAAUCUAGAGAUUGGAUUUUUAGCACUCGCGAGAUUAAUUUAAUUGAGGGUCAUGAUGAAUUCCGUUUGAUAGAUUUGGGUCUAGACAAUAACUUUUACUGCGUCACGGUCAAUAGUCGUGUAAAUGAGGUGCGAUAAGUUUAAGCAAUUAAUUAUUUGAUCAUUGCUCGAAUUUGAAUAUGAAAUAUUACCAAUCACCGCUAACAAACUCCUGUCACGUCGGAACAUAUGGAGCAUGUUCCUAGUGGGUAUGGUGAACCGAAAGAUCAAACGAAAAAUCAUUUUACAUAAAGGAAAAACAAGAACCCAUGCCCUAACCCGCAUCCAUUUCAUUACUACCAAUCCAAAGAAAUACCACAAUCUUUGAGAUACUCAGUUCAUGUUGAAAAAGUGUAAAGUUGGACGAAGUUGGCUCCUAGACCUUUUUACCAAUCUCUCUUCUUAUCUAAUAUAUAAUGAUUGCAAUUAGUCGCAUUGAAGGGGAUCUCGCAACUCCAGUUUUCCAUUCCUAUGCAAUUAGCAAAACUCUGGAAGAAUCAGUUGGAUCUGCAGUCCAUUACCGUCAUGUAUGAGAUUCAACAGGACAGCCUGACUAUUAUUCAACUUACUCUCUGCACAAGCCAAUCAAAAUUUUCUUAUCGUCGGAAAUAAAGACAGAGAAAAGGAAAACUCCAAACUGAGUUGUAUAGCACGUGACAGUUAACAGAUAUAUUAAUUUGUGAUUUUUCGUAAUAUUAAUCUAAUCUAAUGAAAAUUAAUUAAUAUAAAUUUAUUAUAAAUAUAUCAAAAAAAUUUAUGAUGGAAAAAUUAAAUUGAGGUAAGUUGACUACAGGUAUAACAAAUUAGAAUUUUUACGUCGACGUAUUAAUCCUAAAGAAAAAGUUGCCGCUGUCAUCUUCAACGACAGUGGUCAUGGCAGGACUCAAGAAUCUGUCCUUUGCCUCUUCAUCCUCAACCCAUCUUCGUUAGAGAAAGAGAAGCAGAAAUAGAGAAGGGAAAAUGGAGGAGGAGAAGCGAUUUCAGAUUCCCAGGGUGAAACUGGGCAGUCAGGGAUUGGAGGUAACAAUCUUUGCUUCCUUUUGUCCUUGUGAGCCUUCUCUAUUCAAGUGAUUAUUGAAUUCUUGUGUUCGUGUUUUCAAGAUCAAUAGUUUUCGUUUCAGACCCUAAAGAUGGUGCCUGAUUAUUGUGAUAUUUGACCAAGGUACUGUUCAGAAGCUUUAGAGUGCAUUAUCGUGCCUAAAGUCCUUGGCUCCUUGCAUUAGUUGACGAGUGUGAUCUGGGUUUUUGAUUAAGGGUGUGAUCACAGUCAAGUCAUCCCCAGUUGACUCCUCGAGCUUGACCGAGCUUGAGUUUAGCUCGAGCUUGACUCAGUCAAGUGUUCGGUAAUUAGCUUAAGCUCAAAUCACUGUCCAAAAGCAAGAAUUCUAUGUGAGACUGCGAGCUAAGCUGGAAUUCGAGCUAAGUGAGCUUUGAAAGUAUCAUGAAAUUGGAAAACAGCGUAAUAAGUGUUUCUUAUGUAUUUAGAUGUAUUACUCUAAUUUGGAUAUCUUAUAUUCAGCUAUGAGGGUCUAAGUAUGCUCAAUCAUAUUCUCGAUUCCAUUCAAUACUUGCAUGCCUCAAACUUGAAAGGAUCACGUUGAAUUGAGUUGGCUCGUAGCAGCUCAAGAGUAGCUUGGCUUGGGUGUGCUCUUAGUUCUGGCAAGGGCAAGCGAGGAUGGACACUUAGCAUGUUCAAGUCAUUUCAAGGGAGUAGGGGAACUAUUUAUUCAGGACUCUUGUUCUUAGGAUAGUGAAGAAAUUUUUGAUCUUCACCAGAUUUGAGAUAGGAUAUUGAAGAGAUGACUACUGAAAAUGACGUCCUCUCAUCUUGUGCAGGUCUCUCGACUAGGCUUUGGAUGCGCAGGACUCUCUGGUGCCAUGAAUACUCCUCUUUCCCAUGAAGCUGCAUGUUUACUCAUAAAGAGAGCAUUCGAGAAGGGCAUCACCUUCUACGAUACAGCAGAUGUCUAUGGUCAAGAUCAUGACAAUGAGAUCAUGAUCGGAAAGGUGAUACCUGUUUUAAUUAGCUUUCACACAUCAAGAUUUAAACUCUCUUUGAUAAGUUUGACCCUGAAGAUUCUUGAGAAAUGGACGUUUUGAGACUGAAACUAUGCCUAAUUUCUUUGCUGGUUGUCCUGUUACUGAGACCAAAUUAAUUACUCACUCAGGCUCUGAAGGAGCUUCCGCGAGAGCAGGUUCAGUUAGCGACGAAAUUCGGCAUAGCAAGGUUGGCGGGGGCUCAACCUGCCAUCAGAGGUACUCCUGAUUAUGUAAGAGAAUGCUGUGAAGGUAGUCUUAGGAGACUCGGGGUUGAUUACAUAGACUUGUACUUUCAGCACAGGGUGGACACCACAGUGGCGAUAGAGGAUACUGUAAGCACUGUUGAAUCAUGGUGUUUCUUCAUAUUGCUUUCUAGCGUAUGAUCAUUUUUCUCCAACAAUUGCAAUGUGAAAAAUUGGUUUAACUAAAUCAAUUGCAAUUGGUAAGAUAGAUGGGAGAACUCAAGAAGCUGGUGGAGGAAGGGAAGAUAAAGUACAUUGGUCUGUCAGAAGCUAGCAUCGAUACGAUAAAGAGAGCUCAUGCCAUUCAUCCAAUCACGGCUGUGCAAAUGGAGUAUUCUCUGUGGACUCGUGACAUUGAGGAUGAAAUAAUUCCACUUUGCAGGUCUACUCCUAUGAUCCUUAAGUUGUUUUCUGUUUCCCCUCAAGAUAUCAUGGAAAUGAGUCAGUUUUUGCCUGUCUUUCAAUUUCAGAGCACUUGGCAUUGGGAUAGUCGCAUAUAGCCCUCUAGGUCAUGGAUUCUUUGGUGGGAAGGCAAUUGUUGAGAGCUUGCCCCCAGAGAGCGUGUUGGUAUGUUUUUUCGCCAUUUAUUUUGAUGAUAUUAAUAAUUAGUCCAUUGGCAAUCCAGAUUAUGUGACCAUCCGAACUUGGUAAAUUACUUUUUGUUGGUAUUUAGAAUUUAUUAGCGUCAACAACAGAAAGCAGGGUGAGCAAUCCUGCUACAAGCCCAACAAACAGCAACUGAAAGACCCAAAAUGGAAGUCCUCAGUUACUGCACAACAUCUAAUGCCUAUCUAAGGACAAGGACACGUUUGCCUUGUCAUUCAAACAACUACUAAGUCUUGCUCUAAUCAACCUCUUAAUUUGCGAGAGGAUUAAAUCAGAGAAUACAGCAGACAACAGUUUACUGCCUUAGAAACCAAAUUUUCGGAUUUCUUGGUGAUAUAUCAGUGAUAGAUCUUCUAUAUUAAUUUUCUAUUGUUUUGUGAUAGAAUAUGCAUCC